CUUCCGUAGGUGAACCUGCGGAAGGAUCAUUACCGAGUGUAGGGUUCCUAGCGAGCCCAACCUCCCACCCGUGUUUACUGUACCUUAGUUGCUUCGGCGGGCCCGCCAUUCAUGGCCGCCGGGGGCUCUCAGCCCCGGGCCCGCGCCCGCCGGAGACACCACGAACUCUGUCUGAUCUAGUGAAGUCUGAGUUGAUUGUAUCGCAAUCAGUUAAAACUUUCAACAAUGGAUCUCUUGGUUCCGGCAUCGAUGAAGAACGCAGCGAAAUGCGAUAACUAGUGUGAAUUGCAGAAUUCCGUGAAUCAUCGAGUCUUUGAACGCACAUUGCGCCCCCUGGUAUUCCGGGGGGCAUGCCUGUCCGAGCGUCAUUGCUGCCCAUCAAGCACGGCUUGUGUGUUGGGUCGUCGUCCCCUCUCCGGGGGGGACGGGCCCCAAAGGCAGCGGCGGCACCGCGUCCGAUCCUCGAGCGUAUGGGGCUUUGUCACCCGCUCUGUAGGCCCGGCCGGCGCUUGCCGAACGCAAAUCAAUCUUUUUCCAGGUUGACCUCGGAUCAGGUAGGGAUACCCGCUGAACUUAAGCAUAUCAAUAAGCGGAGGAGA
rnacentral:rRNA from 1 species